AGAGUUUGAUCCUGGCUCAGAACGAACGCUGGCGGCAGGCCUAACACAUGCAAGUCGAGCGCGCCUUUCGGGUGAGCGGCGGACGGGUUAGUAACGCGUGGGAAUGUGCCCUUCUCUACGGAAUAGCCUCUGGAAACGGAGAGUAAUACCGUAUACGCCCUUUGGGGGAAAGAUUUAUCGGAGAAGGAUCGGCCCGCGUUAGAUUAGGUAGUUGGUGGGGUAAUGGCCUACCAAGCCUACGAUCUAUAGCUGGUUUUAGAGGAUGAUCAGCAACACUGGGACUGAGACACGGCCCAGACUCCUACGGGAGGCAGCAGUGGGGAAUCUUAGACAAUGGGGGCAACCCUGAUCUAGCCAUGCCGCGUGAGUGAUGAAGGCCUUAGGGUCGUAAAGCUCUUUCGCCUGUGAUGAUAAUGACAGUAGCAGGUAAAGAAACCCCGGCUAACUCCGUGCCAGCAGCCGCGGUAAUACGGAGGGGGUUAGCGUUGUUCGGAAUUACUGGGCGUAAAGCGCGCGUAGGCGGAUUAGAAAGUUGGGGGUGAAAUCCCGGGGCUCAACCUCGGAACUGCCUCCAAAACUGCUAGUCUAGAGUUCGAGAGAGGUGAGUGGAAUUCCGAGUGUAGGGGUGAAAUUCGUAGAUAUUCGGAGGAACACCAGUGGCGAAGGCGGCUCACUGGCUCGAUACUGACGCUGAGGUGCGAAAGUGUGGGGAGCAAACAGGAUUAGAUACCCUGGUAGUCCACACCGUAAACGAUGAAUGCCAGUCGUCGGGUAGUAUACUAUUCGGUGACACACCUAACGGAUUAAGCAUUCCGCCUGGGGAGUACGGUCGCAAGAUUAAAACUCAAAGGAAUUGACGG
rnacentral:rRNA from 1 species